CGGUCCGUCGCCGACUAGAGGCGGUCGGACGACGGAAGGGGCGGGCGGACGUCACCUGACGGGAAGCCCCGCCCCGCCCGCAGGCGUCACGUAGCCGCUUUCCCAGGGGCGAAGGUGGAGCCGGGCUCGGCCGCCUGGCCCUGCGCCCGGACUGCCCCGCCCGGUGGUGAGGUGGUCAGUGCGUCGGAUUUCCUUUUCCUUAUGAAGAAGUCGUCCCUACCGUGGAAAGUGACCAGGGGGCCCCCGGGAGGGACCCAGCCGGCCUUUGCGGGGCCGCCCCACGCGGGCAGGUUCAAACGGUGGAAAUCCAUUCCCUCCCAUCCCGGAAGCCGGAGUCCAAGAUCAAGACGCCCGGGGCGGUUUCCCCUCUGAGCCUGUGGCGGAGACCCUGUUCCAGGCCCUCUCCCAGCCGCCAGUGGGUGCGGCAGACCUGGGCGUUCCUCGGCUUCUAGAGGCAUCACCCCGGCUGCCUCGGUUGUUCUCCCGCUGCGCGUGCCUGUGUCCAAGUUUCCCUCUUAUGCGUUAUGUUUUAUUACGUUUUCGUUCUGGUAUAGUUAACUUGCAGGGUUAUAUUAGCUGCAGGGUUAUACUAGCUUGCAGGUUAUAUUAUAUUCGGUAGAGUGGUUGGCCAGCGCUCAUCACUAUCCCCCUCGCCUCGUUCGUCCGUGCCCCCACCCACCUUCCCUGGGGAGACGACCUGUUUGUUCUCUAGAUGAGAGAUUUUGUCUCUCUCUUUCCCUGUUCGUUUCUUUUGUUUCUCAAAUGCCACAAGUGAGUGAGAUCUGAUGGUAUGUGUCCUUCUCUGACAGACUUACUUCACUGAGCAUUUUCCCUCCGGAUCCGUCCACAUUGUUGCAAAUGGCGAGAUUUCAUUGUUUUCAAAUUUCCCCUUUUUAUAAGUGUAAGUAAGGGUUAAGAGCUCUUAUAGACCCCAGAGCUCGGGUCAACUAGAAAGGAUAAAUCAGACCCUAAAAAAGACCUUAACCACAUUGUGCCUUGAGACGGGCGAAAAUUGGGUCGAUGUCCUGCCUUUUGCCCUUUUGCGAGCGCGUUGUACUCCAUUUGUCAAGGGAUUUUCCCCUUAUGAAUUUUAUUUGGCAGACCUCCACCUAUCCUGCCGAGGCUAGGAGACGACGUAACGGAACAGUUGGAACGGGACCGCUUGCUGGCCUCACUCGUGGCCCUGCAACAUGUACAAAAGGAAAUAACCAGGGCCUUUGCUCAUCCUCCUGUUCUUCCCCACCCCUUUCAACCAGGAGACUUAGUCUGGGUCAAGAGGCACAAGCCUAAAACCCUGGAGCCGCGCUGGAAAGGACCGCACGCACACCGUGAUCCUGACUACGUCCACAGCCGUGAAGGUGGAUGGUGUCCAAACCUGCAUUCAUCACUCUCAGGUUAAGAAAAACUGUGUGAAGGCGGGAACACCCCAGACUGAUACGGAAGCAGAUAACGAACGGCAAUGGAAGGUCCCAAGGCACCCAGAGGAUCCUUUAAAGCUAAGACUGAUGCGGGCAUAAUAAUAAUUGUCUGGGUUUGUAUAAUGGUGAUGAUCAAACGAUGUGAUCGGCUUUAAAAACUCUGUACCCCGGCUGUUCGAGGCCGCACUCUGAUCAAGAGUGUUGGUCCCCGCUGAGUUCCAGCCCCGCGUCGGGCUCCAUGCUGACAGCUCGGAGCCUGGAGCUGCUUCAGAUUCUCCUUCUCUCUCUGCCCCUCCCUGCUUGUUGUCUGUCUGUCUGUCUGUCUCUCUCUC